rnacentral:lncRNA from 1 species
GUUUCUGAAGGAACAAGAAAGCAGUGUCGCCACCACCGCGAGAAAGCAGGCAUCGCCUUCACAGCCGACAAAAGCUACGGUGGAUACGGUCGGCCCUCCACUGCCUCCCUUGCCGCGCUGUCUUCUUCAUCUCAUCGCUUCCCAUAGGUACAAACAACCCUCUUUCAUCGCGCUUACUCAGAUCAGAUCUUGUCUAUUAGGGUUAGUUAGCUGCCUUCUUCAUGCACCACUUCGUCGUUGCGGCUAGAUUGUCCAGUCGUCUCAGUCAGCUUCUCUAACAUUGCUUUCCUCUUGGAUUUAAUUUAUCCUACUUAGCACAAACCGAUCAGAGAGCAAACUGCCAUUUGGUAACAGUUAGAUAUGGCCAAUUCUGAUUUGGUAUGAAGUCCCGUGUAGCCACACUUAUAAAUUCCUCAGGUGUAUUUUGCAUCUCCAUUAUUUUUUGACUGAUAUGAAGACCUUUUCGUUUUCUUACAUUCGGUUCAGUAGUAAAAUGCAAUUCCAAACUGCACUACAGCAGAGUCUGCGAAGUACAGACAUACACUUUAAAAAAUAUCAAUCAGCCUCAUGAAUAUAUCUAAGGUUGAAAUAUAAUCGACACUAAGAGUAUGCGACAUGCAAAUUACACAUGUAAGUAUUCUUUUAGGAAGACUGAAUUCUGUUGCUGCAUAUGGCUAUUAACAGUUAUGAAAUACAGACUAUAGAAACUGAAUGUCAGUAAUGAAAUGUAGACUGUAUAGAAACUGUCUAGGAGUACUAAAACUUAAUGAAAACGGAACUCAAAUGUUUGAGAACACAAAUUGCAACUUCGGAUGAAAAUAAAAGGUUGCAUAUCAUCAUAAUAUAAAAUUAUUAAUAAAUCAAUGGAUAGAGAUGUACGAGGCAUGAUACCAUGAGUAAGUUUCCUGCAUAAGCAACUACUUUACGACAUACUUUUGAUCUAUCCUUGAGACAAUUGCAAUUUGCAUGUGACCCUUCACCAGAAUCUUUUAAAACAAUCUCCUUCACACUCUAGAACACAGGAAAACAAUAGCUUGAUGAUACAGACCUCAAAGUAACCAAAUUAAUUUCCAAUGCUCAAAGAGAUGUACUUGAUUUAAAUACGAACAGAAUGUAAGAAAUUUUAUUUCUUAAUAAGUUUGCAGAUGCAGAGAAUGGGCUGCACCAAAUUUAACUAAUGUUUAUUUUACAUGCUCUAUAUAAUUAUAUAUAUGUCUAGCUGUUCAGCUCUUGGAAACAAUAUGUGUAAAUAUAGCAACCUAACUCUAGAUAUUGUAACAAAAAUAUUAAUUUCCAUACUUGUCACCAUAUGUGCGUUUAUCAUCUUUUUAUUACAAAUGCACGAUGCUCCUUCUUGACCACUUGUAUGAAACAAUGAACUAAUAUUUGUUAGUAGAGAUUAUUUUUAUUAAUCUAAGAUGCCAUUUUUUUAACCUAACCUAUUUAGCCUUUGAUUUUUUUCUUCUAAAUAAUGCAUGGUUUUGUUGGUAUUGCAGUUGUGCCAGUUGGAGACCCUUCUGUUGCUGAAGGAGACCUACAUAAACUAUAGUUAGCCGCUAAGUUAAACAAGCCACGCGCUAGAUCAGAACCUAGCAGGCUUAAGGAUCAGUAAAAUGAUAUCUG